UACAGAGGGUGCAAGCGUUGUUCGGAAUUAUUGGGCGUAAAGCGCGUGUAGGCGGCUUUGCAAGUCGGGUGUGAAAGCCCUCAGCUCAACUGAGGAAGUGCGCCCGAAACUGCAGAGCUUGAGUACCGGAGAGGAUGGCGGAAUUCCCCAAGUAGAGGUGAAAUUCGUAGAUAUGGGGAGGAACACCGGUGGCGAAGGCGGCCAUCUGGACGGAUACUGACGCUGAGGAGCGAAAGCGUGGGGAGCGAACAGG
rnacentral:rRNA from 1 species